rnacentral:rRNA from 1 species
GAUGAACGCUGGCGGCGUGCCUAAUACAUGCAAGUCGAGCGAACAGACGAGGAGCUUGCUCCUCUGACGUUAGCGGCGGACGGGUGAGUAACACGUGGAUAACCUACCUAUAAGACUGGGAUAACUUCGGGAAACCGGGGCUAAUACCGGAUAAUAUAUUGAACCGCAUGGUUCAAUAGUGAAAGACGGUUUUGCUGUCACUUAUAGAUGGAUCCGCGCCGCAUUAGCUAGUUGGUAAGGUAACGGCUUACCAAGGCAACGAUGCGUAGCCGACCUGAGAGGGUGAUCGGCCACACUGGAACUGAGACACGGUCCAGACUCCUACGGGAGGCAGCAGUAGGGAAUCUUCCGCAAUGGGCGAAAGCCUGACGGAGCAACGCCGCGUGAGUGAUGAAGGUCUUCGGAUCGUAAAACUCCGUUAUUAGGGAAGAACAAAUGUGUAAGUAACUAUGCACGUCUUGACGGUACCUAAUCAGAAAGCCACGGCUAACUACGUG